rnacentral:lncRNA from 1 species
UGAUGCUCUCCUCUUUUUAUAACUUUAUUUCAUUUUCUGUUCAUUUCUGAUGUUGACUCAAAGGCCCUUUAUCACCUUGAGCUGAUAAUCUAUGCUUUAUGGCUGCAGGUGUGAUCGAGAGCGGCCGAAGCCGUGUGCAAUAAUAUACACGUAUAAAUAUUUGAACAGGAAAAAGAACGUCUGCCUGGUGUAGACCAAGGAAGAAAUGCAUUUAAACACCUCAUGCCACUGGAGGGACCUUGACUUGGAGCCACAGCAGGCAAGGAGUGCUGACAGGGCUUUGAUAGCCUGUAUUUGCCAUGGCGGGCUGCAGUCAGAGCCAGGUAUUAAUGAGCCCAUUGGCCCCAGGCUCCUUCGCCCAGUGCCACCCAGCCCAAGGGGACCUGGAUACUGCCCUCUACCUGACUGUGCUGUCCCCUCACCAGGCUCUGCCCCCUCCCUGGGGCCUCUCUCUGGUGGGACACCCAGCGGCCUGCAGUUCUUCUGUGUCUGCCUGUUAUCUGGCUGAGCCCAGGGAAGCUAAGCUCUCAGUCUUUCUUCUAAACUAAACUGAAUGUGGAGCUUGUGUAUUUGACUCUGGACCACAGAGGGGUCCUUUGGUGUAACAGCAAUGGGGUGGGCCCUUCCCAAGCCACUGAAGAGUCUCCAUGAAUAUAUCCUGCCAUCUGCAUCUUAGCCAUUAAAAUUCCGGUCUCCCUGUAGGUGUCCCUAUGGGAUGUAGAAAUCUCUACUCCAGCCCCAACAGUGAGCAGCCCAUGGGCCAGCGAGGCUGCAGCAGGGUGGGAGUCCCCAUCAGGCUGUGCCCUCCCAGGAGCAAGAUCUGCAAACUCCAGCCCCCAGGCCCAUGCCUCUGCUCCUGCAGGCAGAUGCAUCUUUACAUAUGGGCUCCUCUAGCUGUUCCCCUCCUGCUUGGAAACGUGAGUUGCUCUUCAUGUGGAGACAUAGACCACAGCGUUCCUUUGUUCUGGACAAUACAUAAAGGCAUGCAGUUAGGGGACAUAUUUGAAAGCUAGCUUGUAAAGGGACAGAGAUUUACAGAGUGGGGCAUUAAGAACAGAGCCUCUUUCUGAGAGCUGAGCACAUGGCCUUCAAGGUUCGAUGUUGAUCGUGCCCAGAGUCUUGGCAGGAAGAUGCUAUCUCAAUGGCAUGUAGCCACCCCCAUUCCUAGACCUCCCUUGGACUCCAUCAAAGACCUUUAAAGAUUUUAUUCAGUUGUUCUGUAUAACAUCAGGACGUACGGAAGGAUGACAGAUUUUAUUGUCAGCUUUUUUUCCAAAUAGAGGAGGAAGUGAAAGUUGACCAACUUGUUCAGUCGUCUUGGCACAGGAGUAAGAGACACAUAAUUAGAACCCCAAGAAGAUCCACAAGCACUGCCAUGUUGGAGGAGGACUAGCCUCUCCUAGGCACCUGCUGGGACACUUGGCUCCCAAGGGAAUAAAGAUGGAGCCCUUAGGGUUCCCACCACCGAGAAGCAGUUCACAAGUCAGACAUGUGCCACAAAUAAACCCAGCAUAAGGAGAGUAUGUGCCUGGCUUCAACUGCUCCCCACACUCUGGUAAAGCUGUGUCUGUCUUGAAAACCCCCCAGGGAAGGAAAUCCCUAUGAUUUCAAAUGCCAGGAUGCUAGAACAUGGUAAGCAUCUAAUUCCAGUAAUCUUAACAGCUUUGACAUAACAAGUGGUGUCGUUGCUUCUUUGUAUAGGUGCAUGGACACAUCAGUACCCCAGGUGCCAUCUGACCCUAGGCCUCUCAGCAACAGGCUUGUGGGGAAGGUGGGAGGUGACUCCAUGAGGACCAACGUCACCUAUGUCCCUCCACCCUGUGAGGCUGGUCCAGAACAUGGCCUUUGGCUUGGAAAGGGAGCAAUGCUCUUGGCUAAGCACACAUUCAAAAUAUACUUCAGUGCACUCUAGGGAGGAAGAUAAGACAGAAAUGAUUUCCUUAUUUUUGAGGCCAUAUUAUCUGAAACACCCUUUGGAAUAACCAGUAAUUAAAUGGCCACUUGGGGCAGACAAUGCAGGUCAUGCUGACAUGCUGAUUGUGCUGUCUUGGUAUCAGCUCAUAUUGACAUGCUCCUGUGGUUGUACAGCAAUUGAAUGAAGGGGAGGUGUGUCCUAUGCAUGGACUCUUUUUUAGGGAGGAGGACAAGUGUCUCAGUUCAAGACACCCCAUGUUCCUCAGUUUUAAAGGCUGUUAAUCUUAAACUACCUUAUCAAGUUAAGUGCUUUCCAGAUCGGGAACAGGACUUAUUUUUAUUGAACUGGCACAUUGCAGAUUUUUUAAAAUAAUAAAAUGAUGGAACACAAGCACCUGGGAAACAUGGGAAGCCAGGCAUUGGAGAUCCCAUACCCAGCCCAACAACCCCAGGCUGUGACAAUGGCAGUUCCCUCAGAACCAAGCAGACAGAGGGAAGACCUGAGUUCCAACACCUAUCCCCGUGGAGCAGCACAGGAUUGAUGGACUGUGCCCUGUGCUCAGGAGAGUCCAGAGAAACCUAGGCCCAAUAUCACAGAAAUGGUACUGGCUAAUUGGUAGCCAGAUAUGCUACAGGAGUAACUUCUUAUGAUGGCCACACAAGUGAUCAUAGAGUAACGUCAUUGCUAGGAAUUACUUAAACAUUGACUUAGAAAAGAUGUGGGAGAUAAAAUGGUGACCUCAGUGUCUAUGGAAAGUGCAUUCAGGAAGAGUAGUAGUAAGAAUAUUUACUAGACUAUACUAUUUAUUUUUGCUAAUAUCAAAUGAUCUCUUAUUGGUGCCAAGCACUACUCUACAAAGUAUGCAUUAAAUUUUUAAUGCUCACAAAAACUCCAUGAGGUAGGUGUAGCCACCUUCUAGGAAAAACAGACUCAGUGGUGAGAACAGUAUCAAAGAGCCACCAUGAGAACUGAGUGUUAGUCUAACACAAAUGAGCGCCUUCAGCCAUUCUGAAUCCAGCUGCUAAUGGGCACAGUGGUGCCAACGAUGGCUUCCGAACAGGGGUGCCAUGAAGAGCCAAUGAAAAAUCACAAGUAAGGUCAUGCUCUGGACAGUGAUCUAAAAGAUCUCCCCAGAAUCUCAUGUGUUCAGGGGUGGGGCUUUUGGAAAGUGUUGUAUUCAUCAAUGGAGUCAUCCAUUGAUGAGUUCAUAGAUGAAUGUGCUGUUAGGAGAUGGGGACCUAAUUGGAAGAAGUGGAUCACUGCAGUGUGUCCUGGAAGGGUAUAUUUUUGUUGUUGGGUCUUUUCUUUCCUCACAGCCUCCUGGCCACCGUGGGUUGAACAUCUUAUUAUGACUUUCCACCGUGCCCUUUUUGCCUUGAAGCGGUCAACAGUAUGUUGAAC